GGUGAGGUCCUGACUCUCCGAGAGUCUCUUGAGCUCCACCAUGGUAGCAAAAAAAGAGAAGAGAGAGUGGUCUCUGGAGGUGAAGAGCAAAUCAGAGAAUAACGAAUGCUAAUAUGAGAAGGAGGCGAGGGUUUUAGGAGGAGCUAAUUGGCAAGAGGCCUAGAGGAAACCUCAAAUUUAGAAAACAAUAAAAUAGCUUA
rnacentral:lncRNA from 1 species